ACACGACUACAUUAGAUACCCCUGUAGUCCUAGCCGUAAACGAUACUCGCUAGGUGUCGGCCACGGUGCGACCGUUGUCGGUGCCGUAGGGAAGCCGUGAAGCGAGCCACCUGGGAAGUACGGCCGCAAGGCUGAAACUUAAAGGAAUUGGCGGGGGAGCACCACAACGGGUGGAGCUUGCGGUUUAAUUGGAUUCAACGCCGGAAAUCUUACCGGGACCGACAGCAACAUGAAGGCCAGGCUGAAGACUUUGCCGGAUUGGCUG
rnacentral:rRNA from 1 species